rnacentral:misc_RNA from 1 species
GAUGAAGAACGUAGCGAAAUGCGAUAAGUAAUGUGAAUUGCAGAAUUCAGUGAAUCAUCGAAUCUUUGAACGCACAUUGCGCCCGCCAGUAUUCUGGCGGGCAUGCCUGUUCGAGCGUCAUUUCAACCAUCAAGCCCCAGGCUUGUGUUGGGGACCUGCGGCUGCCGCAGGCCCUGAAAACCAGUGGCGGGCUCGCUGUCACACCGGGCGUAGUAGAUUUUAUCUCGCUCAGGGCGUGCUGCGGGUCCCGGCCGUUAAAAGCCUUUUUUUACCCAAGGUUGACCUCGGAUCAGGUAGGAAGACCCGCUGAACUUAAGCAUAUCAAUAAGCGGAGA